GUGAACGAUGAUUGACGCACUGGGCUCUGAGCAGUUUAUUAUCGCGCUUCAUUGAUGGAAAUCCCAGCCUUGAAAGCUGUAUCCCAUUU